CGGGGGGAACUAAUAGGCAACGGGGCGGGGGACGGGGGAGGGGUCCCCCGCCCCAACCCCGCCCCGUUGCCAUCCCUAGGUGCAUCCUUGGACCCAGGUGCUGUAAAUUGAGUGGAUUCUUUUUUUCGUCCAUGUCAUCAUAUCCCAUGGCAAAAGAUCUGAAUCUCUUUACCUUGCAUACCAGAAAAUCAGCUCACUGAGGUUGAAUAACUCAAUAGAAGCUAGACUCGAUGCUUGGAUUUGAACUGAUUUUAUGAUGCCGAGUCCAUUGAUGUGCACGCAACUGAUUCAUGAUUGUUUACCGAAACUUAGAAUUUUGCCAUGCUAUUGCUUAGACGUUUACACUUUUAUAGUGGCAUUUCUCACAUUAAAUACUUCAAGAUAGGGAAACAUGCAUUUAGAUGUUUUAGCUCUCUUCUUUGUGGUGUUAAACAUGACAUCAUGUAAUCUUUUUAGGGUAACUUCCAAAGAAUUUAUGCGUGCAUGGCAAUUUCUUUUGCUUCUUUCCUCAGAUCAAUAGGUUCCUUGAUAAAAUUUGAGAUGUGAAGAUGUUUAGCAUUUGCUGACUUCAACCUUGGAUAGGAUUAUUAGAUAAGAAAACACAGUAGGGAUUGCUUUGGUGCUGCUGCUGCUCAAGCAUAUCUUAUUGUGAUACAUUAUGAAGUAAAUAGAGCUACGAAGCGCUUGAAUGUAUUCAUGAACAUAUCCUUCUGACCAUAUAUAUAUAUGACAGAACAAUUAGAUGUGAGCGAGAGAGAUGUUUUGUCUUCCAUUAUACAAAAUCUGCACACUCUCAAGCCUAAUAGGCUGCUUGACAAAUUUUCAGAUGUUAGAAUGUGCAGCAGCAUUUGCUGACUUCAAUUUUAGAUGGUAAGGGUCUAAGGAACUGAGGGAUGGGUCAUAGUGUUGUUUGGUUGAGAUCAAGGAUCUUCUUCAAUGAGAAUAAUGUGCUGACAUCAAAUUCUAUUCCAAGAAAGGUAGGUGUAGUGUUUGAUACUUUAGAGGAGCCGAGUGAAUUGUUGAAGGUUAGGACUAGAAAUGUAGUUGCGAUCUUGUUCCGUGGAAGUUGGAGUUCAACCUCAAGCCUAUUCUUGCUGAAGCCUGAAGUACGAUGUACCAAGUGGAUUGAGCUCGCAAUUUAUACUUUUUCUCUUUUUUUUUUUUUGAGAUCAAGUUCAAAAAUUGUGUUUGGCUAUUAAAAUUUAUUCAAAUAUUAUUUUGAUUAUUUAUAAAUAUAGUUUUUAAUCACUUUUUUUAAAUUUUUUUUGUUUCAUAUAUAUCACAUCAUAAAAGUGUUAUGGUAAAUUAUUCUAAAUAUAUGUGCUCGCAACAUAUAUGCGGAGUCUGAAAGUUCAGACUUAAUUGAAGUGAAACCAUAUCCCCAAAAAAAUUAAAAAUAAAUCUUUUUGAAUCUUGAAAAUGGUUCAGCAUCAGAGUUCUUCAAUGCCAAAAAAAAAACAUGCGAGUUUUCCCCUCUUUUUUUUUGUUUUUUUGCUAUACUCAAUGCAAAACUCGUGUUAAAUUAAAAUGCGUUACGUGCUAGUUUAUAGUUAGCAUUCUUUUCCAUAUUUACUACCAUAACGAGAAGAUUACAGGCAUAGAUAAGCAAGUGGACGCCAAUGAUUCGAUGAAAACCCUACGCAUUUUAUUGAUCCUAAAUACCAUUUUAUGUAAAAAAUGUAGAUGGCCAUGAUGAUGUAGACGACACAUGAAUUCAGGAAGAAAUAAAGGAAGGAAAAAUUGAAGGAAAAGCACGGUCCAAUUCUGCAGUAAAUUUGUCAACUAAACAGGUGAUUGAAUUAAAGUAAGGAAUGGAAAAGCAAGAACUCAAUUUAUAUAUUUUUAAAACUUAUAAAAUUAUAAAAUAAUUAUGACUGAUAUCAGAGGAUUUUUUAGGACGGUUUAACCGAUCCGAUCAGCUAACCUCAAACUAGUUUAAUCGAGUCGCUAUUUCGUUCGGGUUUAACAACCUUGUUAAAUAGGUGAUUGAACUGAAGUAAGAAAUGGAAAAGCAAGAAGCUAUAAAGAAGUUUUUAAGUGCGAGGGAGGAGUAGAGGAGGCAUUAGCAAAAGCAGAAAAGACCCUGCACCGGAGAAAGUCCUUCAAUUAGUAGAUUUGCUUGACAGAAGCCACUAGUUCAAAGUUAACAAGGGUAAAAAGAGAAAAAGUUUGAAAUGAACAGCCAUUUCAAGCCACGCUCAUGUGGAUCAAUUGGACCUUGCAAUUCUUUUGUAACCCAAAAACACAGAUGUCAAUACUUACACAUUAUGUACAAUAUCAUUUGAUCACAAUAUAUUUCAGACAACACAUAGCUAGGAGGCUAGCAAAGUAUACAUUGUGUAGCAAUUAAUUUGCAUUCUUGGAAAAAAGAUCAGCCACCAUCUUGCAGUCUCUCUGUCUAAACUCCAAGUAGCAUGAAGUUUUUUUUCUACCAACAAUCUCUUCAUCUGUUGGUAACUCCAAGAUUUUUAAGUCUUGGGAUGGUGGGAGGUUAAAAGUUCAACCCUUGCCGAAUUCUUGACCUCUCACUAAAUUUGCCACUUAAUUGUGAUUGUCAACUUUGAGUGGGUUCCUUCGACGGGGUUUCCCGUCGACUCCCUCAUUCCUUAGAUUAGGCUAGAGUAGGGUAUACAACUCUUAUCAUUGCGACAAAAAAAAAAUGUAGUUCUUCUUCUCACUAACUGUUGGGAAAUGCAAAAAGUUCCCUAGAGUCCAUAUUUAGUGACCAUGCCCUGUCUAAUGUCUAUAUAAAUUAUUCUUUUGUUUUUUGUAUUUUUCUUCACAACUUCCUACCACUUAACUAUUACAUACAGAAGAUUUAAAUAAAGGUCAAUGAGGCUCCAGUUUAAUGACAAAAUAACAAAAGUUCAGCCUUCAAAAACUAAUUACCUGGAGUUUUUAAUUCAGGCUCGACUCAUAAUUAAUUCAAAUAUAAUAUAUUUAAUACAAAGUUCGACAAAUUUUAUUAAACAUAAAACUCAACAGGGUUUUUCCAGGUAAGGCUAGUCCACUCCAUUAACAAUUCUAUUAAAGUAAUAUUGAGUUGCAUGCCUGUAGUUGCUUCCCAGAGGAAAUGGGCCAGGGAAGGUUAUAGGUAGAGGUGGCAAAUCAACCCACUUAACUAAAUUUAUCCAUACCCGUCCAUGAAUAGAUGGGUAUGGGUAUCUUAAAAUUUUGUAUAUGGGUAUAAAUGGGUUACCCAAUAAUACCCAUUUAAUAAAUGAGUAUUAUUAGCUAACCCAUCAAACCCAAUUAACCCAUUUAGAAUUCUCUUCCACCCAAGUCUCUUCUUUUCCCUCCACCUUUUUUUUUUAAAAAUUUUUCAUUUUGUCAUGAUGUUAACUACUUUUGUUUUAUUAUUAUUAUUAUUAUUAUUAUUAUUAUUAUUAUUAUUAUUUGUUGGUUUUAUCUUAUUAUUUUAUUUUCUCUUAGUUUGUUAACUUGCUCAUUUUUUAGCAUUACCAAUUUAUGAUAAAUUUUAGCAUAUUUUCUUAUCUUUAUAAAAUGAAAUUUUAAAUUUAUAUAUGAAAAAAAUGUUAGGGGUUCAAAAAUUUUGUAUUAAGUUUUUAUAUUAAUUUUUAUAGUACUUAGUUCAAAUUUUUAUAUUAUUAUUAUUCAAUUAUUAAAUAAUAGGUAAUUUUGUGACAUAGAGUAUAAUUUUGUGACACGCGAACAUUAUAAGUAAAUAUUUAAAACUAAUGAUGGGUACAAAGAAUGAUAUAAAUUGAUAACUUAGUUUGCAAAAAUGAAUUAAAUGAGUGUGCAAAAAGUUAAAAUAAAUGGGUUAUAAAUGGGUAAUUGGGUUACCCAAUUCAUUUUUUGACUUACCCAUUUAUAUCCAUCUAAUUAAAUGGGUAUAAAUGAGUUGACUCACUUAUACUCAUUACCCAUUUUACCCAAUCCAAACCCGCCCAAGUCACCCAUUUUGAUUUUUGACACCUCUAGUUACAGGUAAUAAUCGUCCAUAAAGGUUCAUAUUCAUGAUUUGGCCAAAAAAAAAAAAAAAGGUAAAGUCCAAACUAUAUUUUGUACAUUGAUUUCAACUUCAUGCGUGAAAUCAACAAAAUUUUGUUCCAUAAUGUUAGAAAUGAGAUACGUUCUAAACAAAUGAAGUUACAUUCUAAUCCAGCGGCGUGGUCCCGGUAAAAACGAUCCAAGUCCGAGGUGCGACAGGACAAGGACGUCUUCUUAUCAUCCUUCUUGCACCGGACACACAAACUUUUCAGCAACUGUUAUUCAUCCAUUUCCAUAGUUAGCUGGAGGACACCUUCUUGGCUUCUCCCUAUUGCCCAUUUUUCCAACUCCUGUAAUUUCAUUUCACAGCUGUCGAACUAUUAUUUAUCCAUAUCCGUAGUUAGAUGGGGGGAACCUUCUUGGCUUCUUUCCUUUAUCCAUUUUUCCAACUUCUGUAAUUUCAUUUCAGUUGAUCAAUUCAAGUUGGAAGACUUGAACUCAGUUCUGAUUCCAAAAAAAAUUGUUCACUGUUUUAUUAAUUUGUUUCAAAUUUCCAUCUGGGAUCUGAUCACCGCUGACCAAGGAAGCCAUGGCUGAAUUAUCCCCAGUUAUUCCCCAAGAACUGAUGACGGACAUACUCUUACGGCUGCCUGUAAAAUCCGUUGGAAAAUUCAGGUGUGUUUCGAAGCCAUGGCGCUCUCUACUCUCCGACCCACUAUUUAUCAAAGCCCACCUCAAUCUCCAUCUCCAUGACCCUCAGAACUUCAUCUUCAUUUCAUUUAAGGAUUACAACGCCCUCCGUAUAACCAAUCUCGCCACCAUAAUUUCCACAUCCUCUGACAGUUUCGACAACGCUGGCGUUUCAAGAAAGCUCCCCCUUUUAGAGAAUUUGCUAUAUCCGAAAAUUGUUGGUUCUUGCAAUGGGUUGGUGCUAGUUUUAGAAGAAAGAUUGAGAAAGAACUGGAUGGUGCUAUUUUUAGAUGUAGGAUUGGGAGGGGACUCGUUUCCCGACAAAGAGCAAGUACCAGGUCCUGAUACCGCCUAUUUGAUCAAUCCCACAACCAUGGAGCUAGUGAAAUUGCCAAGCAGACCUUAUUCCUGGGAGGCGCUCAAUAACGGGGAUGGUUUUGGUUACGACAGUUCUAAUGAUGAUUACAAAUUCGUGACCCUGUCGCGUAACCAUGACCCUGUUGCCGAGCCUGCGAGUAGUUCUGAUGCUUUUCUUGAUGUUUUUAGUGUGAAGAGUAGAACUUGGAAGAGAAUUGAUAGUUUGCCUUGUGAUCUUCAAAUUGGUCCUGGGGUCUGGCUCAAUGGUGCUAUACAUUGGUUAGCACUUUUUGAUGAUUCACUCAUUGUAGCUUUUGAUUUGAUUAGUGAGGAAUUUAAGCCUUUGCCAGGGCCUAAUACUACUAUUCCUCCUCAUCAGGGUGGAAGUUAUCUUCGGACACGCAAGCUUGUAGUUUUAGGUGGAUGUCUAGCAAUGAUGGUUGCGGACGACCAAGAGAACCUACCGAGUCAUGAGAUAGAUAUUUGGAUGAUGAAGGAGUACGGUGUUGGAGAAUCUUGGACUAAAUUUAGUGUUCCUAUACCAGAAGGAGAGGCUUUCUGUCAACCUAUUUGUCUACUAGGGGAUGAUAAUGUUGUUUUGCGGUCGAGUGGUUGGAAAUUUUUUGUGCAUAACUUGAGAGAGGGAAGCACGACGGUGGUUGCUGGCAUUCAAGGUAUUUUUGGAGAUGUUGUGGGCUUUUCUGAGAGCCUUGUCUCACCUAUCUUGCAGCAGUCAAACGGAGGGCAACACAACCAAACGGAGGGGUCAUUGCUGGAAGUUGAUGCUGCUGAAGGUAAAAGCUUACAAGUCUAUUGUGUUACGUGACGUUCUUUUUUAUCUCGUCUUCAUUUCUUAGCGAUUACAUGGGUGGCUAUAUUUUGUCCUGCUUCAGAAAGGUUGGAUAUUGGUUUUGUUAUAUUGUUGAAGUUUCAUGAUGACAAAUUUGUACUAUAAAUUAUUCAGUAAUUGCUUAUUUUAUUGAAGCAAAGCUUUUGAAAAGAGGUGAUUGAUUUACAAUUACAAGAGCUGAAACAUACCCCAACUACUUCGAAAGUAGUUGGCCACCAGAGCUCUCCUUGGACGUGGGUCAAAUCUAAAAAUCCAGGAUUUUUUGAAAAUUUCACUAACACCUGCACCCGACUGAUCCAGUAGUGGUUUAGUCUCCUCCGAGUUCUCCCUUUGACGUUUGAGUUCCCUCCUUCCUCUAGUAUAGAAUAGGAGUAGGUGUAGAAUAAAAUUCAUCGUGUCCAGAAAACAUAAAAAAAGCCGAAACAGGUUCUUAAAUUCAUAGAAGUCAAAGGAAGAGGAAAUGAAAUUGUGCUUCUUAAAUGGUGGAACAUUGAAUUAGCAUUAAAUUAUGCACUCAGGUGUGAGUAUGAGCAUUUUGUGAUAAUGUCAUUGCAUAACAUAAAGUGGGAUUAGUGGAUUCUUUCUGUGACUAGCGAGCAAAGCCGAAUGAUAACAGUUUGCUGCUUUGCAGAUAAGGUAAAAAGAAAUCUGACAAAAAGGACAGCAUUGAAUAGUUGUAGCUAUGUGUUAAAUUAUAACUUACAUGCCUGCUUCCAGAUUCAUUAUUCAGAAAAGCCAUUCUACUUGGUUGCAUGCUUUUUGGUCUCCAUCUAUCAUUUAUUCUGUUGCAGCUAUAAUUACAGAAAGGAUCUGUUUUUGAUAAUUUGGCCUCUUCUUUAUUAGUUACUAGAUUUGCUAAAAAGCUCCUAGUUUAAAUUUAGCACCAUCAAAUUGUACUGUGAAGGUGCAUCCUUGAACCAGGUUCCAAGUUGCUCUAGAUUGGGUGAAUGUUUUUUCUUCAGUAGUGUCAUCCUAUAACCUGACAAAAUGAUGUGAACCUGAGAGAUGUUUUUACCUUGCAUAAAUACAGAAUCAGCAAACUUUGAUGGAAGUUUUACAUUAUUCUUACAUUUGAACUGGUCUUAUGUGCUGAGGCGAUUCAUGUGCUCUCAGCUGAUUCAUGAUUUCAAUUACCAUCAUUGUGUGCUGACACAUAAAUUUUUUCCAUGCCAUUCCUUAGAUGCUUAUAUGGUAAUGGCAAGACAUAUAUUUUGAUGUUUUAGCUCUCUUCUUUGCAAUGUUAUGUGUAACAUUCUGUAACCUUUUAUGUGGAAGCUGCCAAGAAUUUAUACUUUGAAAUAGCUUUUACUUCUUUCCCCAGAGUAAUAGGUUCCUUGAUAAAAUUUCAGAUGCGAAGAUAUGCAGCAUUUUAUGACUUCAACCUUGGAGUGGUACGAUCUGAUAACAAAUCAUCACGGAGGUUGCUUUGGUGCUGCUGCAUUAGUUAAGCACAUCUUAUGGUGACACACUACUAUGAAAUAAAUAGAGCUACAAAGCAUUUGAAUGUAUUAAUGCACAGAUUCCCAUAUGGAGAUUCACACACUCCCGCACUAAAGUUUUGAUAUGAUUUUCAGUGAAAGAAGAAGCUUUAUUCACUUACGUUAUACAUAAAUUUUUGGCUAAUUACUUAGAAUAUGGCCGAGGAAAAGAAAAUUCAGACAUCUACGGCUCUAACAGGGAUAUGUUGCAUACUUAUGAGUGCCGGACUGACACAGCCCGGUACCCAAAAGUGAGUCAAAUUUUUUUUUUGACUCUGACAUAGCCCGGCAGCGAAAUUUUUUUUUUUAUAAAGCAGCCCGGUAGCCGACAACCUCUGCACAGAGCUGGCAGCCCGGCAGCCAGUCCAAUUUCUUUAAAAAAAAAUUCCAAGAGUUGUCGGCUACCGGGCCAGCUUAACAGUUUUGUCCAACUUUGUCCUGUUAUGCUUUUCUCCUUCUCCUUGUGAGCAAGCAAUGAACUUUAAUGGCGGAAACAGAUAUGAAUUUGAAGUACCUGGAAGGUCAAAACCCUUCAUCAGAUGAAUGGCAAGAGUUUCCAUCAGAGAAUUCUUUAAGAUCAGUGGCUCUUUCCUAUCUCAUCCUAAUCCCGCCCUCAAGGGCAUCACAUGUUUCCUCCUUAUCACAUUUUAGAUAUUCUCCUAAAACCCAUUCUUUAUAUAAAAAAAUUUUGGACUAUCUUGACUCUUGCCAGAGCUUGACCCAUCUUUUUCAAAUCCAAGCAAACCUAAUAACUUCCGGGCUUCUUCAACACCCAUCAUUUUCAGGCAGAUUUAUGAAGAUUUGCUCUCAUUUUUCUGUAUUGGAUUAUGUUGUCUUGGUCUUUAGGUGCAUUGUUUUUCCUAGUACUUUUGUUGUGAAUACUGUCAUAAAAGCCUACGCUUGCAGCUCUGUACCACAAAAAGCUGUGAUUUUUUAUUUUGAAUGUGGGUUUUUUCCAGGUAGUUUCACCUUCCCACCUCUUUUUAGUGGUUGCGCAAAGUUGAAGUGUUUGAAUUUGGGCCCAAAAAUGUCAUGGGCAAGUUGUGAAAAAUGGGGUUGAUGGUGUUUUGCCGGUUCAGAAUUCUUUGAUUCAUUUUUAUGCUUGUUGCGGGCUUAUGGAAUCUGUUAUGAAGAUAGUUGUAAACAUGUCUGUCAGGGACGUGGUGUCUUGGAAUACCAUAAUUGAUUCUUUUGCCAAAUUAGGUGAAUUGGACUUGGCACAUAAGUUAUUUGAUACAAUGUCCCAGAGGAAUGCCCCAAAAGCGAGUCAAUUUUUUUGGGAUUUUUUUUUUUUUUUUUAAAGUUGUCCAGCUUUGUGCAGAGGUUGUUGGCUACGGGGUAUGUAGCCGACAACUUAAAAAAAAAAAAAAAAAAAUUCCGCUGCCGAGGAGUCAGAGUAAAAAAAAAAAAAAUUUGACUCGCAUUUAGGUACCGGACUGACACAAUCCAGCACCCAUAAAUAUGCAACAUUUCCCUGUUAGAGUCGUAGAUAUCCGAAUUUUCUUUUCCUCAGUCAUAUUCUAAGUAAUUAGCCUAAAUUUUUAUGGUAAUAUCUACUGUUAGUAUGUAAAAGUAUGCAUGAGAAAAAAUCCCACUUAGUAUACUUCAUUUCCUUGUAAGGCAGGAAUGUGAAUUACUGCCGUGUAGCGAUGGUGGUUUGAGGCAAUGUUUUAAAACCCGGACCGUCAAUUGAACCGGUGAAGUGAAAGGGUCGAGGUUCAACCGAUCGGACCGGUUCAACCUCGGUUCAAUGAAUUUUUAAAAAAAUAAUUUAUAUAAAUAUAUAUAUGCACAAAAUAAGACAUGCAAUAGACUAAUUUAAAACUUUAUAUGAUGAAAAGUUUACUAUUUUUGAAUAACUUGGAUUUUCAAAAAUAAAAUUUUUAAAUUAUAAGUUAAAACAAAUAAAUUUCAUUUCAAUUUCAAUUAUAUCUACCAAAAUAAUCUUAAAUCUAUCCCAAAAAUAUCACAAUAUUUUGAAAUUAUACAAAAUUCACGUCUAUGAGAAUUUGACAUUGUAAACUUAAAUUUUAAAUUUAUGCCUCUGGGAUUUAGAGAUUGCAAUUUAAAAAAGAAAGUUUGGAGUUCGAAGGAAGUCAAGAGAAUCGAAAAUAGAAAUGCAAACUUGAUAAGAAACAAAAAAUGAGAUAAAAGUGAGUGGUUGUAGCAUUAAAUAAUUUGGGUUAAAAAAAUAAUUCUUUUUUAACUUUUUUCAAAUUUGUGUUUUCAAUUCGGCCAUUUGACUUUCUCACUCAGUCCAUAUUCAUUGGAAAGAAAAAAAUUCUCCAUAUUCACAUUUUUUGUCCACUAGAAAAUUGUUAUUAGCGCCCAAUUAUUUAUCAAUGUUCCCUUAUUUAAUAUUUAUUUACCAGUCAGUUAGGUAACAAUAUCCUUAUUCAAUGUUACUACUUACGAUAUUGUUUUGAGAUUGUAAUUGAAAUUAAAAUUUUUAAGUAUUUUGUUUAUUCACAAAAAUUUAAAAAAAAAUCAAGGAGUCAUGAUGUAAAGUACGAAUGUGUACAAUGUAAUUAUAAAUAUUUUUUAAAAUAAUAAUUACUUAUCAAUUUUUUUCCUAAAUACUUGUCUACAGUGUCAAUUGAGCAAGAAUAUCCCUACUCAAUCUUUCUAUCUAUUAUUGCAUUUCAACCAUUAUUUUAUUGUGAGAUUGUAACUGAAAUUAAAAGUCUAAGUAUUUUUAUUUAUUUUCACAAAUUAAAAAAUCAAGGGGAUUACAUUAAUAAUCAAGGGGAGUACAUUAACAAACAUAGAUAUACCAACAAUAUAUUUGUGAUGUAAAGCACAAGUGUUUUUGAUGUAAUUAAAAUUUUUGAAAACAAUAACUUAUCUAAACAAUUCAAUUUAGUUACCAAAUUAGAUUGUCAUUUUUUUUAAUUUUUUAUUUUUUCACAAAUUUAUUUCUUGAUUAUUUUUAUUCUACACAUAUUAAAUCGUUGUCGUACAUUUUCUACAAAAAUUUAAAAAAUAAUUUGAAAAAGCUAUUUUAUUAAAGGAUUUUUUUAACGGUUGUCCUAACACAUUUAAUACACCUAAUUUAUUAUAUAUAUACAUAUACUAACAAUUAUUACUAUCUUUGCAUUUAUAUAUGUUUUAUAUACAAAGAAAUAAGUUUGAUGUAUCUUAGGUUUAGGGUGUUUUUAGUUUUUCAUUUAAUAAGUUAAGUAGAUAUUUGCACAAAAUAAUCAUGUCCGCUGCCUAUGGCUCAGUGGUAAGGGCUUCUUAUAACAAACACAAGGUUUGGUGUUCGACUCUUGGCAGCUGCAAUUUGGAAUUUCAGUUUGAAAAGUUUCAAAAACCGUCGGUUCACGGUCUAAGCAGGUUUUUCCGGUUCACCCGAGUCAUCCGGUUUCCAGCGGUUCUUGACUACUCUCCGGGUUUAGCUCUAGACCGGACCGUUGGCCUGUCCGGUUCGCGGUCCAACCGGACCGUUGUAUGUAGUUUAAAACUUUGGAGUGUUUUUUUUUUUUUUUAAAUUACUGUAAACAAGAUUGUAAAAAACUUUUCUAAUAAAAACAAGUCUAAAAAACAUGCUUUCAAGCAGACCCAAUUUUAACUUGAAUAGAUAGGUUUCAUUAUAUUUUGAGGUAUUUUUUUUGUGUUUAUUAAAAAAUUAUGCUAACAAUAUAUAUUGUUUGAGUACUAGAUUAUUUGAAAUAAUUGUUGUAAUAUUUUUGUGUAAUAUGAUGUGAUAAGAUAAAAAAGUGAUGAAAAAAAUUAACAAAUAAGCGCCAUCUGAACCUAAUAACUAUGAGUGUGUUUGGACAGCCAAUUAUUUGGCCAAAUAUAUUUGCUGACAUCACCAUUACAAUUUCCAAUACGCCUUUUUAUCUUCCCAAUUACCUUUUUAUCUCACAUACAUCACAUCACAAAAAGUGCUACAGUAAAAAUAUUUCAAAUAACUUACCAUCCAAACACACUCUAUAUUAUCUUGCACAGCCACCAGAGCCACCAUUACCGCCACCAGCAGUCCACCACCACCGUCCCCAUCUGCAAUUCAGUACACAACUAGAGUACGAUAAUCGAUGUCCCCAAAGAAACUCCAUCAAUCUCAAAUGCCGGUGGCCAAGGCUGCCUUAGCCCCAAAUAUUCCCGAAGAACUCACAGUCGACAUACUCUUACGUCUUCCGGCGAAAUCCAUCGGUAAAUUCAGGUGCGUCUCGAAGCCAUGGCG
rnacentral:lncRNA from 1 species